rnacentral:misc_RNA from 1 species
AUUACAUUCGCCGUCGAGCUCCGAGCACUCGUGAGACUCUGAGUCGGCUUUCAGGCUUCUCAUAAAUAACGAAAACGAAACGACUAAACGGGAAAGCGAAGUAACCCAAUUUGAGGAUGCAAAGUAGGGAAGAAAUAUAGGGAUACAGAGAAAUUGCUGUACCCGGGUGUACGAUGCCGAGCGGAUUCAGACACUACUCGUUUCUUAAGGGUCGGCUCAAUGAAACAGAUCCACGCAACGUCGGUGAACUGAUCCCAUAUACGACUUCAACCCUUGGUCGUUACUCUCCUUCGAUUUUCGUAUCUUCAGUCCCUCCCCGAUACGGAGCAAGAAGAGGGUGAGGAGGCAGGACUCGGUGGUAGACUGCAAGGAAAUCGAAGGGUGCACCGAAAAAUUCGUACGAAAAGUUCGAAGCGAUUGCUUUCGUAGCAACUAUGAAAAGCUCUUUUCAUGUCGUAAUGAAAAUCAAGUUUUCCAUCAGCCCUUCAUUACGAUACUAUAAGUGGUUAAAAUCCUUGGACUAAGUGAGCGC